UCUGAAUCGUAUCGCUCUCCAACUCAGACCCAUGAACUUGAGCGAUGUUCUUCUCUGCUUUCUCAUCUGCUACUCCGAAUCAAAUACCCAUUUGAGAUUCCUCUUUUUUCAUCUCUGAUUCUUCUUAACAAAACCCUAACCUGUAAACCUAAAACCAUCUGAGAUCCAUCCGCUCAUCCAAAUUAGGGAAUUGGAGAGCUGUUGAAGAUUUCCUCGAUGCACAAUAGCACCACCAGAUCGUGCAAAUCAAAUGUUUGACAAAUUGCUUGAAUGAAUAUGUUAUCCCUGUUGCUGCACCAGAGGGGUCACUGCGAGCUGGUUAUGAUGGGUUUACUUUGAGUUUCAAAGGGUUUGCAGAGGAGUUUGGUUAGAAAACAAGGAGGGGUUUUGCUGAUUGUAUUCAAAGUAGUGGAUAUCGAGAAGGCGGACUGAAAUGGAUGGGAUAUUGAGAAGCCAGGAAGAUAGAUCUGUGCUACUGGUGCAGCUGUCUUCCCCCAAAUUUGGACUUGAUAAAUGAUUUUGGAGGAGUUAUAAAUUGGAGGAUGUUUGAAAUUGGUCAAAUUUAACAGAGUAUGUUGACGAUGACUACAAUUUGUGGCAGUAAGAGUCCAUCAUCGUGCUCAGGAAUAUCUAAACAUGAAGGUUUUGGAAGUGAAUGUACUUGCAUUAUGGCUUGGAGCACCGUGCUAACUCUCGUAUGAAUAUUCACGCUAAUCGUUUCAAAAAUAAAUGCAAAGAUGUAUGAAUUAUGGAUAGGUGAUGAAAUUUAUGCUCAACUCGCGCGAUGGGUUUUUUCUUUAUGGGUUGUUUGGUACUAUUUGAUCGUCAUUUUGGAAUGUUCUUUUAGGUAGAAACUUACCCAUAGUAGAUACACUUUUGGUGUUUUGUGAAUAAUUUAUCUUAUACAAAGCGGAUGAAGAUAUCUUUCUGACAAUAAUAGUAGGCUAGACCCAUCUCCAUCCACACUAUAUUCGAGCCAUGUUGUGUUGUAUUCUACAUAUAGGGAUACCAAACUUUGUAACAUUAUCCAGAUGGCUAUUAGUCUGCAACGAAAAUUUUCUUGGGCACAGGAGAACCUCCCUCCUGUGCUAUCUGGAAUGCCAGCUCUUGCAAACCCAAGAAAUGGAACACAAACGACCACAACAAUCUACAUAGGCUGGGUCAAACCUAAUCCAGAUUGGAUCAAGAUCAACACAGACGGAACAGCGCGAGGACACCCAGAAAUAGCUGGAGCAGGUUUCAUUUGUAGGGAUGCUUCUGCUAACACCCUAGUAGCCGUAGCACAACCACUAGGAAUCACCAACGCCCUCACAACUGAAUCAUGGGCAAUGCUGAUAGCGACCAGGACGGCAAAAGAACGAAGCUGACCAAAUGUUGAAUUUGAAACCGACUCGGAAAAUUUGCUUCGAUUCCUAACCUCGGAUGCCGAUCCUCCUUGGUACAUAUCAGGAAUGAUCUCUGAAACCAAACAGAUAAUGAGACAGAUCCCCCAUGGAUUGGCCAAUCUGACGGCAGACAACAUCCAACUGGAGAACCUUACAACUUUAUUUUGGGACCAUACUAUCCCACCGUGCAUUAAUCAAAUUGUAAUGGAUGACUCAUUGAGUAUCAUCUACCCUCGUAUAAUUGCCGCUUAAUUUUAAUAAUAU